GACGAACGCUGGCGGCGUGCUUAACACAUGCAAGUCGAACGGAGUGGCGAACGGGUGAGUAACACGUGGGUGAUCUGCCUUGCACUCUGGGAUAAGCUUGGGAAACUGGGUCUAAUACCGGAUAGUGCAAGGUGAGCUCGCGGCCUAUCAGUUUGUUGGUGGGGUAAUGGCCUACCAAGGCGUCGACGGGUAGCCGGCCUGUGAGGGUGUACGGCCACCGUGGGACUGAGGUACGGCCCAGACUGGGACGGGUGGCAGAAGUGGGGAAGAUUGCACAAUGGGCGGAAGCCUGAUGAAGCGAGGCUGCGUGGGGGAUGACGGCCUUCGGGUUGUAAACUCCUUUAGACAGGGACGCGGUACCUGUAUAAGAAGCACCGGCUAACUACGUGCCAGCAGCCGCGGUAAUAC
rnacentral:rRNA from 1 species